GGCCUUGUUAUGCAUUAAUCUUAGGUGGCUCCUGAAGCUCUGAACCCCUGGAUUGUCUUCACAUUAACACCUGAAGCUAGUUUGAAGCACUCUUUGGGCUUAGA